UUUUAUAGUAUUAUAUUGAGUUAGAGAUUAUAAUAUAUACGCGCGUAUUACAUAUCACAGGUGCGUUUAAUAAUGUUAAUGUUGUAUAUUUAUAUGUAUAUAUGCGUAAACCAAUAUUGUAUACUCAUGACAUAUGCACUACAUAUGACUGCAUAUACAAUAGUAACGUUUGAAUGUGAAGUGUGUUUCAUAUUUCAAACGGUAAAGUAUAACUUGAUCAAACGAUGCGUUGACAAUAAUAAUUUGGCUUGUGUUUGUUGCACUGUGGUAUGAGAUGCACGUAUAGUGUCCGUAUUGACUUAUACAAAGAAAUGGAGUGAGAUAGAACAGCGAAAGAAGUCCGGAAGCGACAUUAUUAUAAAAAGACAAUACCGCCUAUUAGGAUCAUUCGGGAAUUAGAUGGACAAAACGUGGCUCAAUCACCGACCGUCCCUUGGAACAGUGCAGGGAACAGUUUUGAGAUUAGAGGGUUGCGAAGCUGUGAAGAUUGGUAUGCCUAAAGCGCAGUGGCGUAUUUACGGGGUGGGGGGGGGAUGAGGGAAAUAUAUCUCCCCCCUUGACCUUUUUUUUUAGCAAUCAUUAUUACUGCAUUAACUUGUAUGAGGUAUGUUUAUACAUUUUCAUAAAUAUACUUAUAGAUAAUAAAAACAAUUUUUCCUCACAUUAAUAUCACUAUUCUCAUACCCGGCAAAUAUAUUAUAUAAUAAUAUUAUAACGUCGUUAAAUGAAUAACAAAAAUAAUGAUUUUAAACAACAACAAUGGGCGUUGUGUUCUGUGGGUCUUCGCAUUAUACAGCCAAUCAGCGCGCUAUAUUUACUAUAAUACUUUUCUAUUGGUUAUUAUUAUUGUUGGAUGCGUUUAACCUAUCUUAACUACUCGAGUCUCAACAUUAAGUUCCUCAGUCGUAGUUCGAACGCAGUGAUCUAAACUUCAAAGGUUCAAACCCCGCAGGACCGUUCAAAGCACUUAGGCGUUGUCGCAUCUUUUAUACCUACGUCGACAAUAAUAAUUGAUUCAUCAUCGAUUCUACAUAGGUACACAUUCAAAAGUGGGUCGUGGGUGACUGCUUAACUAUAGGUUAUUCAGUUCAAAAGAUGUCACAUCACCAUAUCGUUAAAUAUAAUGGGAACUCAGCGGUAUUUUAUAGUGAAUCCUGAACGGUAGGUAAAUUAAUAAAGUUUACAUAAUUUUAGGAUUGUCGAAACUCAUACGAUGUGUGCACAGGCAAUAUGGUGAAUACAUGAAUAAACAUUCGCCGUGUCAGCUCUCGAUGACGUUGAAAUACGUACAAUAAUGCAUUACAUUUUAAUAUAUCGCGUGAUAUCUUGAGAUAUUUGGAGACGAACCGAACUAAGAGCUUAACUUUUAAUUCAGUUCCAGAUUCACGAGGUUCCGCUAGAAGUAAUAAUGGGUACUUACGUCCGUUUCGUCUCGAACGGGAAAUGACAACGUGUUUAUAAAAGAAUCGAAUUUUUUUUUUUAAAAACAAUUUCACGGAAGUAGACGCGAACGAUAUAGAACCGAUGACAUAUUUUAUCCGACCGGGAAAAUGGUGAAUUGGUAUCGCGUAUACAACAACGUCGGAAAGGACGGGCGAAAAGCUAUUGUUGCCAGCAGAAACGACUAUAAUAAUAUUCAAGAUAUGUGUAUUUAGGUACAUUUCGUACUAACAAAAACCGUUCGUAAAGUCAUCGAUCUGAUGUGACGUAUUAAUUCUAUGCACGGCGAGUGCAUAACCGAUAUAUUUGUAAUCCGUUUCACUAGUUAUUAAUUUAUUGUAUGUAUAGGGUCAUGAGCUACUAUAUACCUACUAUAAACAUUAUUGUAGCUACUGAAAUCAAUUAUUUAAUACCAUUGAACAAUAUACAAAUGGAUAAUAGUGUGAAUAAUUUUGUAUAGAGGGCUGUUCAAAUUAAUUGUUAAAUUUAAAAAAG